rnacentral:rRNA from 1 species
UACCAGCACCCCGAGUGGUCGGGACGAUUAUUGGGCCUAAAGCAUCCGUAGCCGGUUCUACAAGUCUUCCGUUAAAUCCACCUGCUUAACAGAUGGGCUGCGGAGGAUACUAUAGAGCUAGGAGGCGGGAGAGGCAAGCGGUACUUAGUGGGUAGGGGUAAAAUCCGUUGAUCCAUUGAAGACCACCAGUGGCGAAGGCGGCUUGCCAGAACGCACUCGACGGUGAGGGAUGAAAGCUGGGGAGCAAACCGGG